rnacentral:lncRNA from 1 species
UCUCUCUUGAUCCCAAAGGACAAAGAGGAAAAGAUAGAACCAGAAAUAAGGCCCAGUCUUGUACAAAUAAGUACCAAAUAAGGGUUUUUGUAAUAGAUGUCCUUUUCAUUUGUCUUACAAGUGGGCAGUGUCUGAGCGGACUGAAGUGUUCCCAGGUGUUGGGCACUUGGGGGUCCAUGAGGACUGCCUGUGCUCUCAUCUGGGCCUUUAGGAACGGAUCCAGCUUUCAAUACAUUGUCGGCUGUUCCUGUGACAGAUCUCAUCUACAAUAGGUGGCUUUGAAAGUUUAAGUCCCUCAUCAGUGAGUAAAGCAUGUGCCAGUAACCCCUGCCCUAUCUCUGCUUCGCCCCCCACCCC